GGCAACGUGGCGGAGUGGUUAACGCGAUUGACUCGAACUGUCAGUCAGACUGACAUAGACAUCAAUUUCCUUCGGGAGCGCAUGUUCGAAUCAUGCCGUUGUCG